rnacentral:lncRNA from 1 species
CUUUUGUAAAGUGGCUUGACCCUCACAGCUAUGGCACAGAUAGCAGGGUCAUCAAAAGCUGCUCCAUUCUUCUGGAAGCUACAGAGAAAGGGAACCUGGAAACCUGGUAUGCUGGCAAAAAGGGAUUUGUGCCAUCUUCUUAAUCUCCACCAUCCAGCCUGGACUUGAUACUUUAAAUGGACUUAACACCUAUAUAUGUACAAGUUUUAUUAUCUGAUUUCUAGCAUCAUGAAUCAAUCCCCUUCAAGGAACAGAUAAAAAAGCCCAUCCCUUGAUAGGACAGACAAAGUACAAAACAAAUUGGCAUAGAAAUAUGUCUCCAUAAAAGUUUUCAAUAAUUUCUGGUUGAUGUUUAUUGUCAGUCAUAGCAAUGGAUAUUACCAAAGAAAAUAAUGUGGGUUGAAGAGAGACCAGAACACUGGACAGUACUUGCAUUUGAGAGGUAACUAGAAAACAAAUGAAAAUGAAGAGUCCUUAAUUUUCAUUUGUUUUCUAGUUACCUCUCAAACGCAACUACUAUCUCAAAUGAAAAUGUGUGGCACUGAAUUUGGUAGCAUUAAAAAGA